rnacentral:lncRNA from 1 species
GAAAGCUGCCGCCAUGGCCCUGGGGCUUUUCCGGGUGUGCCUAGUUGUGGUGACGGCCAUCAUCAACCACCCGCUGCUGUUCCCACGAGAGAACGCCACGGUCCCCGAGAACGAGGAGGAGAUCAUCCGUCAGAUGCAGGCGCACCAGGAGAAGCUGCAGCUGGAGCAGCUGCGCCUAGAGGAGGAGAUGGCGCGGCUGGCGGCCGACAAGGAGGCCGAGAAGGAGGCAUUGGAGCAGGUGGCAGAGGAGGGCCAGCAGCAGAAUGAGAGCCGCACCGCCUGGGACCUGUGGAGCACUCUCUGCAUGAUCCUCUUCCUGGUGAUCGAGGUGUGGCGGCAAGACCACCACCGGGCGCUGCCUCCGGGGAGCCUCAGCUGACGCCGCCCGCACCCGGGAGUUUGUGGAAGGCUUCGUGGAUGACUUGCUGGAAGCCCUGAGGAGCCUGUGCAGCCGGGACUCCGACAUGGAGGUGGAGGACUUCAUCGGCGUGGACAGCAUGUACGAGAACUGGCAGGUGAACAAGCCUCUGCUGUGCGACCUCUUCGUACCCUUCAUGCCCCCGGAGCCCUACCACUUCCACCCAGAGCUCUGGUGCUCUAGCCGCUCUGUGCCUUUGGAUCGCCAGGGCUAUGGCCAGAUCAAGGUGGUCCGGGCCGACGAGGACACGCUGGGCUGUAUCUGCGGCAAGACCAAGCUUGGAGAAGACAUGCUCUGUCUCCUCCACGGCAGGAACAACGUGGUGCGCCACGGCAGCAAGGCAGCAGACCCGCUGUGCGCCCCCAACUCCCCGUACCUGGACACCAUGCGCGUCAUGAAGUGGUUCCAGACCGCCCUUACUAGAGCCUGGCACCGCAUCGAGCACAAGUAUGAGUUCGACCUGGCCUUUGGCCAGCUGGACACCCCGGGGUCCCUCAAGAUCAGGUUCCGCUCGGGGAAGUUCAUGCCCUUCAAUCUGAUUCCCGUGAUCCAGUGUGACGACUCCGAUCUGUACUUAUUAAUAUUGGAAUCAAGAAAAAGACUGUACUCCAGUGUAUGA